AAGGUUUCCGUAGGUGAACCUGCGGAAGGAUCAUUACCACACCUAAAAACUUUCCACGUGAACCGUUAUAACUAUGUUCUGUGCUUCGUCGCAAGACUUGAGGCUGAACGAAGGUGAGUCUGCGUCUAUUUUGGAUGCGGAUUUGCUGAUGUUAUUUUAAACACCUAUUACUUAAUACUGAACUAUACUCCGAAUACGAAAGUUUUUGGUUUUAACAAUUAACAACUUUCAGCAGUGGAUGUCUAGGCUCGCACAUCGAUGAAGAACGCUGCGAACUGCGAUACGUAAUGCGAAUUGCAGAAUUCAGUGAGUCAUCGAAAUUUUGAACGCAUAUUGCACUUUCGGGUUAUGCCUGGAAGUAUGCCUGUAUCAGUGUCCGUACAUCAAACUUGCCUUUCUUUUUUUGUGUAGUCAAAAUUAGAGAUGGCAGAAUGUGAGGUGUCUCGCGCUGUCUUUUUAAAGAUGGUUCGAGUCCCUUUAAAUGUACGUUGAUUCUUUCUUGUGUCUGCGAAUUGCGAUGCUAUGCUCUUUGUGAUCGGUUUAGAUUGCUUUGCGCUGGUGGGCGACUUCGGUUAGGACAUAUGGAAGCAACCUCAAUUGGCGGUAUGUUCGGCUUUGCCUGACGUUAAGCUAAGCGAGUGUGGUUUUCUGUCUUUUCCUUGAGGUGUACCUGUCGUGUGUGAGGUUGAUUUAGGCUAUAUGGUUGCUUGGUUGUGUGGUUUAGCGUUUUCAGACGCCUGCUUCGGUAGGUAAAGGAGACAACACCAAUUUGGGACUGAGAGUUUACUCUCUUUUUCACUUUGGACCUGAUAUCAGGUAAGACUACCCGCUGAACUUAAGCAU
rnacentral:rRNA from 1 species